UUGGCCUCAAAUCAGGUAGGACUACCCGCUGAACUUAAGCAUAUCAAUAAGCGGAGGAAAAGAAACUAACAAGGAUUCCCCUAGUAACGGCGAGUGAAGCGGGAUGAGCUCAAAUUUGAAAUCUGGCGGUCUAAGGCCGUCCGAGUUGUAAUCUAUAGAGGUGUUUUCCGUGCYGGACCGUGUACAAGUCCCUUGGAACAGGGCGUCAUAGAGGGUGAGAAUCCCGUCCAUGACACGGACUACCGAAGUGCUCUGUGAUACACCUUCAAAGAGUCGAGUUGUUUGGGAAUGCAGCUCAAAAUGGGUGGUAAAUUCCAUCUAAAGCUAAAUACAGGCGAGAGACCGAUAGCGAACAAGUACCGUGAGGGAAAGAUGAAAAGAACUUUGGAAAGAGAGUUAAACAGUACGUGAAAUUGUUGAAAGGGAAACGAUUGGAGUCAGUCGCGUUUGCCAGGACUCAGCCUUGCUUCUGCUCGGUGCACUUCCUGGUGAAUGGGCCAGCAUCUAUUUUGGACGCCGGAAAAGGGCGGGAGGAAUGUGGCAGCUUGCUGUGUUAUAGCCUUCCGUCGUACACGGUGUCUGGGAUAGAGGAUUGCAGCACGCCUUUGGUCGGGGUUCGCCCACGCCACGUGCUUAGGAUGCUGGCGUAAUGGCUUUAAACGACCCGUCUUGAAACACGGACCAAGGAGUCUAACAUGCCUGCGAGUGUUUGGGUGUAAAACUCAGGCGCGUAAUGAAAGUGAAAAGUUGGGACUCUUUAGUGAGGCACCGACGCCCGAUCCUGACGUUCUCUGACGGAUUUGAGGCAGAGCAUGUAUGUUGGGACCCGAAAGAUGGUGAACUAUGCCUGAAUAGGGUGAAGCCAGAGGAAACUCUGGUGGAGGCUCGUAGCGAUUCUGACGUGCAAAUCGAUCGUCAAAUUUGG
rnacentral:rRNA from 1 species